rnacentral:rRNA from 1 species
CAAUAGCGUAUAUUUAAGUUGCUGCAGUUAAAAAGCUCGUAGUUGGAUUUCGGGUGGGAAUGGCCGGUCCGCCGUUUCGGUGUGCACUUGCUACGCCCACCUUGCUGCCGGGGACGUGCUCUUGAGUUCACGCUCGGGACACGGAGUCGGCGAGGUUACUUUGAGUAAAUUAGAGUGUUUAAAGCAGGCCUACGCUCUGAAUACAUUAGCAUGGAAUAACACGAUAGGACUCUGGCCUAUCUUGUUGGUCUGUAGGACCGGAGUAAUGAUUAAGAGGGACAGUCGGGGGCAUUCGUAUUUCAUUGUCAGAGGUGAAAUUCUUGGAUUUAUGAAAGACGAACUACUGCGAAAGCAUUUGCCAAGGAUGUUUUCAUUAA